UUACGACCACAUCAUGUUGAAAUACUGCUUCUCGUAUGAAUACCGAAGCUAAGCAACGUCGAACCUGGUCAGUACCUAGAUGGGUAACCGCUUGGGAAUACCGGGUGCUGUAAG